UAAACUGCCUGUGCUUGUUAAACAACAAUGCAUGCGUGACCAGGCCUGAUCAGAAGCAAAAUCCCAAUUCCUGGAUAUUCCACGAGAUAAUCUUUAUUUGCAACAGAGGAUAUUUUAACUUCUUAAUGGCGAAAUGAUUCAAGGUGGUUCCAAAUGUGACACCGAUGACGAGCAAGCAUCUACUCGUAGGCUGAAGUUUGGACUGGGACAAUGCCAUGUGGCCCAAAAACACGCCUACUUGCAACAAAAUCCCAGGAGAUGGAAGGCUAUGCAUGUACUUAAUAUAAGCAUGUAAAUUUUACACUGUAAAAAGAUAGCAGUUACAUAAUACUGCCAAGAACAUUAAAUGACUUCAAUCUA